GAUUUGGGACAAAAUCUGUUUGUCUGGGUGUAACUAUGAGAUGGAGACUAAGAUCACAUCGUUUUGCUUAUUUCUGGCGAUGAUGAGAUUAUCUCCUGCUGAGGAACCGAAGAGGAACCUGACUGGAGUUGUUGGAGGAAACAUCACUCUGCCUGAUCCUCUGAUGGAGCGAGGAUUUAUUUUAGAUGCAGGGAAGGCCAACAAUCUUGCUAUGGUGACUGAAGGAAACCUUAAGAUUCUAGA